ACCCAGCUGACGAGUCCCAAAUAGGAAAAAACGCGCGUCAUGGUU
rnacentral:hammerhead_ribozyme from 1 species